GCGGGUAAAGUAUAUCGGUUUUACAUCGCCUUGCCAAGGCGAGAAGAGGGGUUCGACUCCCCUUACCCGCU
rnacentral:tRNA from 1 species